rnacentral:lncRNA from 10 species
CUCCAUCUCAAAAAAAAAAAAGACCUUAGCUUUUCCUCUGAGAGCAGAAACUUUGGAGGGGCUUGAGUCAAGCAAUGGCGUGAUCUGCUUCGUAUCUUAACAGAGUCACCUUGGCUGCUCGGUCAGGGCAGGGGGACAAGUGUGGAGGCAGCAAAGUCAAUUUGGACGCUGUGGCCAACAACCAUAAGCACGGCUGAGGUCACCUAGGGAGUGCUUGUGGAUGAACAGGGAAGAGGCCCAAGACUGGACGUGGAGGUCUCCAAUGUUUAGAGUCAGGGAAAUGAAGGACACCAACAAAACUCACCUAAGAGAGGAGCAGUCGAAGAAGGAGGGGAACUGCUGAGCAUGGGCUCUGGAAGCCACAGCUCCAGGAAGAGGAAGUGAACAGCUCUGUCAAACGCUGCUGCUGGGUGGAGCUCCCUGAAGACAGAGAGUGAACCCUUGGUUUUCGCCAUGUAGAGGUCUGCUGUGCUGAGACUCAUGGCAAACCCCAGGAGCCACCUAUGAUGUGCCAGACACAUAAGCCCCUCCCUCACAGGCGUGGGUGCAGCCGGGGCCGACCGCAUUCCAAGGAGCAUUUCCUCUGAAAGCCAGGCCAAGUGCCCGCUCUCCAGCGGCAGACCCCACAGGCAGGGGUCAUGCAUGGGGGAGUUCAAAACCUAGUUCAUCAGGUUCUUUCCUCCAGGAUUUUGGUCUAGGCAACAUCAGAUGAAAACGAACACUAAGGGCAAUCCUGAAGAACCAAAAGAAACUGGCAAUGGACAGGUGUGGAAAAGCAGAGAAGCAGAGAAGUAGAGAAGCUUCAGAAAUUGCUUUGUGAAGUUGAAUGUGGAUGUAAAUAGGCAGCAGUUGCUGCCUCCUCCUUUCCCAAGGCUCAGCUCCCAUUUCUAGUAGUUUAAUUUAGAAUCCAAGAAACCCUGGACCUGUGCCUUCCCUCUAAAUGACAAGGAGUAAUAGAAGAUGAGGAUAACAAGGUAAAGGUAGCUUACCUUUGCAAUUCCAGCACUUUUGAGAAGCACAAAAAUUACUUGAGAGCCAUGACUUCAAAACCAACCCGGGGAACAGAAUAACACCUGCUCACUCCCAAAAACGUAAAAUGUAGCCUGACAGAGCGUCCAGACUUGGUGCGUUCGUCUCACAGACUUCACUCAGCAGAUCUUUGUGCCACACCUACCUGUCUUCAUCAUGACCCCCCUCAAUGCCUGGCAGCCACAAAUCUGUUCACUUCCAAAACUUUGUAUUAUCAAUAAUGUUAUAUACAUAGAAUCAUGUAGGCGUGUGUGGGAUUUUUUUCCACUCUGCAUACUUCCUUGGAGCUUCAUCCAAGUUGUUGCAUUUAUUGUGAAUUUGUUCCUUUUGAUUGCUAAGUGAUAGUUUGUAGUUUGGAUGUACACAGUUUAACUAUUCAUUAAAGGACAUUUGGACUGUCUCCAAAUUUUGGGCUAUUAUGAACAAGACUCCUAUGAACAUUCUUAUAUGGGUUUUUAUGUUAAUGUACAUUGUAAUUUCUCUG